GGGCGUAAAACUGCCGGGCGUAAAACUGCGUGGGGGCGCAAAACUGCAUGCUCCAGGUCUGCAGACUCCCCAUAUAGACACCGCUGGUUCACUCACUAUUUUUAAAUUUACCGUUGAUCACGUGAUAUGACGUCAUGACGUGCGGCCCUUACUGACGUUACCAGAAAAAUCUAUCCAAGACGGCUACCCUCUCGAGCGACGUGGUAUCAAGCAUGAAGCAACUUGUUGAAGUGGAAGAAGUGCAGUGAGCAUCCCCCAAAACCAAGAUCAGUUAUUUUAGGCAGUCAGCAGUGAAUGCAUGGACACUGAAGACUUUGAUCGUUUUUUGCAAACAGACCUACAUUGUCACCAGAGAUCAACUUUAUCGGACCAACUUACUCCAAAUAUUGAACAAGUCUGACCUUUCUAUGAUGAGUGAUAUCCCUAACUUGGCUGAUGCAUUUGCAUUGUUGCUUGGGUUGAUGUAUGCAUUGCAUUUGGACUAUAACACAAAUGGUAAGUCUACAGACACAGCAGGACAAGACAAAGCAAGGCGGGAACAAGAUAAUUAGCACGGUGACUGGACACAAACAUGGUAUGGUAUGACGAACCGGCACGGGACAGAGAAUACAAGGGACUUUAGAAGGGAACACUAAUGUGGGAAAAUUACACUGUAACACAAUGUUUUUUCAUGAACAACAUUAUAACUGUACAACCUAAUAAUUAUAA